GUUGAUUUGAGAUGCAGAUUGUUCGGCGGCUCUCCGUUACUGUAUCCAAACAAGUAGUUGGAGAUGCUGCCAGUUCAGUUCGUGGAUCGAAGACUCAGUGCCGGUGGAGGUCGUUUGCGGCCACUGUUCCGUCUAAUUCAGCGGCAGAUAGAAGGAAACAGAAAAAAGUAUCAACGGAAGAAAGGAUAGCAAUGGUGCAAGAUUUUGUUAACAAAUAUAGAGCCAUGAAUGGUGGAAAAUUUCCACCUGCUUAUGCGGCAAUGAAAGAAGUUGGUGGUGGGUAUUACAACGUCAAGAAGAUUGUCCAAGAAAUGCAAUACAAUGCUAAAAUGCCAGUAGAUAAAGACUCUGUGGUUAAAGAAGUUUCCGCUAGAAAAGCUGCAAUUAGGAAGGAUAAGAGCAACGAGGUAAAGCUGCAAUUAAGCAGUGCAACAUGUCUCGAACAUGAAUGUGAGGAUACUAGUAGCAUCGGUGAGGCAGAGGCAAAGCUACAAACUCCAAUUGCAGCAGAGCAGAUGUUGUUGCAUGAGAUAUCAAGAGUUUCUGGAAGUGAUAAUAAAGAUGCUGCUGCACAAGUUCUUGGUGCGGAGGUAAAAUCUAUUUCACAUUCCGAGGAACCUUUACCUGAGAAUAACAUAAAACAGAAAGACUCCCCUAUGGAAGAUUUCAAUUUUGAUGGCCGAAAGCAGAUGGAUGAGCAAAGACAUUCACCUGAACCCGAAAAGCGUACAAGGAAAUUAUCGAAUGAGCGCAAGGCUGAUAUACAAGCUGAAAGCAAACCAUCCCUGUGGAAAAAUAUGAAAUCUUUUGCAGAUGGAAUCCUCAACAUGUGGUGGAAACAGUAAAUUAGCCCCCAGGUGGUCUCUAGUUUAUGAAUUUUUCCAUUUAGAUAUGAUACUGUUUUUAUCAUCUCCUACUGUAGCUAAGAGUUCUGUAUUGAUGGCUUCCUCCAAAGUGGACUUUUGUGGUUCUGCAGCGUUAUCGAAAAACAAGGAGAUGGACUGUAUUUGUGUCAACAUGAGAGAUCUUGUUAGUAUAAUGUUAUGCAGGCAUGUCUGUGCAAUGAAUAAACGAUCACUAGUGAGAGAACUUGGUGAUGAAGCAUUAUUGUUUUGAAGCAGUUCUAUUCUCUUUACAAGAUAGGUAGGAGAGAAUUGGUGUAUUAGAUGAG
rnacentral:misc_RNA from 1 species